CGGAGUGUCGUAUAGUGGCAGUACGCAUGCAUGGGGUGCAUGUAGCGGGAGUUCAAUUCUCCCCACUCCGA
rnacentral:tRNA from 1 species